AGGGUGGCUGCGUGUUUCCGGAAGACGUGGCGGCUCUCGCCUGGGCUGUUUCCCGGCUUCAUUUCUCCCGACUCAGCUUCCCACCCUGGGCUUUCCGAGGUGCUGUCGCCGCUGUCCCCACCACUGCAGCCAUGAUCUCCUUAACGGACACGCAGAGUUUUAUUUGUAGCCGGCUUGGCUUUUGUAAUUGGUUUAGAAAGAACAUUCAGAUUCUUCUUCCAAAAACAUAAAAUGAAAGCUACAGGUUUUUUUCUGGGUGGUGUAUUUGUAGUCCUUAUUGGUUGGCCUUUGAUAGGCAUGAUCUUCGAAAUUUAUGGAUUUUUUCUCUUGUUCAGGGGCUUCUUUCCUGUCGUUGUUGGCUUUAUUAGAAGAGUGCCAGUCCUUGGAUCCCUCCUAAAUUUACCUGGAAUUAGAUCAUUUGUAGAUAAAGUUGGAGAAAGCAACAAUAUGGUAUAACAACAAGUGAAUUUGAAGACUCAUUUAAAAUAUUGUGUUAUUUAUAAAGUCAUUUGAAGAAUAUUCAGCACAAAAUUAAAUUACAUGAAAUAGCUUGUAAUGUUCUUUACAGGAGUUUAAAACGUAUAGCCUACAAAGUACCAGCAGCAAAUUAGCAAAGAAGCAGUGAAAACAGGCUUCUACUCAAGUGAACUAAGAAGAAGUCAGCAAGCAAACUGAGAGAGGUGAAAUCCAUGUUAAUGAUGCUUAAGAAACUCUUGAAGGCUAUUUGUGUUGUUUUUCCACAAUGUGCGAAACUCAGCCAUCCUUAGAGAACUGUGGUGCCUGUUUCUUUUCUUUUUAUUUUGAAGGCUCAGGAGCAUCCAUAGGCAUUUGCUUUUUAGAAAUGUCCACUGCAAUGGCAAAAAUAUUUCCAGUUGCACUGUAUCUCUGGAAGUGAUGCAUGAAUUCGAUUGGAUUGUGUCAUUUUAAAGUAUU
rnacentral:lncRNA from 1 species